AUUGAACGCUGGCGGCAGGCCUAACACAUGCAAGUCGAGCGGUAGAGAGAAGCUUGCUUCUCUUGAGAGCGGCGGAAGGGUGAGUAAUGCGCAGGAAUCUGCCUGGUAGUGGGGGAUAACGUUCGGAAACGGACGCUAAUACCGCAUACGUCCUACCGGAGAAAGCAGGGGAACUUCGGGCCUUGCGCUAUCAGAUGAGCCUAUGUCGGAUUAGCUAGUUGUGGGGGUAAUGGCUCACCAAGGCGACGAUCCGUAACUGGUCUGAGAGGAUGAUCAGUCACACUGGAACUGAGACACGGUCCAGACUCCUACGGGAGGCAGCAGUGGGGAAUAUUGGACAAUGGGCGAAAGCCUGAUCCAGCCAUGCCGCGUGUGUGAAGAAGGUCUUCGGAUUGUAAAGCACUUUAAGUUGGGAGGAAGGGCAGUAAAUUAAUACUUUGCUGUUUUGACGUUACCGACAGAAUAAGCACCGGCUAACUCUGUGCCAGCCGCCGCAGUAA
rnacentral:rRNA from 1 species